CAAACAAUCCAUUCAUUUCCCCUCAAUCAUCAUCUUCUGUCCCACUCAUUUUCCCCUUGUCAUCGCUAUAGAUUCCGCUCACACACAAACUACACAAGCAUAACAUGUUUGGUUCACCACGUAACCACCAGUAGCAUCCAUGUUCUAAUAACAACACAAGAAGUCCAAUCCCUUUCUUCAACUACAACUAACAAACUAAAACACCAAAAUAACCUUCAGUUACCGAUUUAUAUCCCAACUAAACUUCCAAGUGUCUUGUUCGCAUAUGUGAUCAACACAUAAUAAUAGCCUUACUCUUCCAUAUCCACAGUUUCUUUUUAUUAUUAUUAUUAUUAUUAUUAUUUUGAAAAUUUGGUUUACUUUUCUUCCAGUUUCUACACACUUCUAUUGUACCGGUACCUGAUUAUGACAAUGUGCUUUAGCUUGACCGAAACCAGAAACCGGUGCUACCGGUCAGCCUUCACAGGUUCGGGUCUCCGAUCGACCAUCACGGACCUCAGGGACGGAACCGUCAUGCACUGCUGGGUCCCCAAAACCCGAGCCUCUUCCAAACCGGGGGUACCGGAUGGCGGCGAUGUACGGAGAGGAAGUGGUGGAGAGAGUGGUGGUGUGCUGCUCGGGAGUAUGCAUGGAAGAGAAAGAUAUCAAAGAAGGGUUGUUUCCUGUUUCGGAUUUGGAAGAAGCUGCCUGCAUUUUGGUGCCUCAGAGUCCGGAGAGGCUGAGGGAGCUUGUUGGAUAUACGUUCUUUAGGCCUCCUCCUGUUGCUUGGUUGCCUUCUUGCUUCCUCUAUGAUUUCAUUGAUGCAAUGUGCAGGGACUAUGUAGAAGAACGGAGAGAACUAAUCCGAGCCAUUGCAAAGGACAGAAAACUUUGUGACAUCCCCAGGAUUUCUCAGCCUACGUUAAUUAUCUGGGGAGAGCAUGAUCAAGUGUUCCCUUUGGAGCUUGGUUACCGAUUGAAAAGGCAUUUGGGUGAGAAUGCACAAAUGGUACUAAUUAGGAAUGCAGGGCAUGCCUUAAAUGUGGAGAAGACCAGUGAAUUCCUCAAGAUAUUGAUAUCGUUUCUAGUGGAUUUUCAGCUACCUCGAGAGAGCCCAUUCAUCAUCAACUGUGAAACCAACAAUGGAGUUUGAGUAAUCAAACAGAGCACAUGGAGAAAGGAAAUCUUCACAUAAUAACAGAAGAAGAAAAAAGCAGGUUUCCCUGAAUAUUGGGUGACUCUGUUGAGGCACAUUCUUUUUAAAAUUUGGCUGGCUCUAAAGCUGAGGUGAGGCCUGUUGGCUAUUUCCAUUGGAAACAGUUAAAUGCAAAGGAGUUAAGUGGCUUGUUCGAUUGGUAGAUUUCGAGUCAUUCUUAGCUACUCUGGUAGUAAAUAAAAAGAUUUGUUCUCCAAUUAAUUUAUGUCACAUAUAUUAAAAUGACUUUAUUAUAAAUAACUAUUAAUGAUUUAAUGAUUUUCCAUUCAACUAAUA